UAGGGCAAGUCUGGUGCCAGCAGCCGCGGUAAUUCCAGCUCCAAUAGCGUAUAUUAAAGUUGUUGCCGUUAAAAAGCUCGUGGUUGAACCUUGGACCUGGCUGAUCUGUCCUCCUAAUCGAGCGCACGGAUUCGGUCGGGUCUUUCCUUCUGGGGAGCCCUAUGCCCUUCACUGGGUGUAGUGGGGAACCAGGACUUUUACCUUGAAAAAAUUAGAGUGUUCAAAGCAGGCCUUUGCUCGAAUACAUUAGCAUGGAAUAAUAGAAUAGGACAUCGGUUCUAUUUUGUUGGUUUCUAGGACCGCUGUAAUGAUUAAUAGGGAUAGUCGGGGGCGUCAGUAUUCAAUUGUCAGAGGUGAAAUUCUUGGAUUUAUUGAAGACUAACUACUGCGAAAGCAUUCGCCAAGGAUGUUUUCAUUAAUCAGUGAACGAAAGUUAGGGGAUCGAAGACGAUCAGAUACCGUCGUAGUCUUAACCAUAAACUAUGCCGACUAGGGAUCGGACGGUGGUUUUUUUAUGCCCCGUUCGGCGCCUUACGGGAAAC
rnacentral:rRNA from 1 species